AGUGCUUGCUCGUUUUGGGAUGCGGUCAAAGUGUCGGUGGCGCUUUAUUCGAGCUGGCCUUGGUGGCAUUCGCAAGGCAUUGGUAAGUAUCUGAUCUCUCCCCUUCAGUCGUCUUGCGCUUCGUAGACAGAGGAAGUUAUGAGCUUGUGGAGAUCAUCGGGAACUAGCUACUCCGGAAACGUCAAGGGAACUCCCGGCAUCCGCGGAAACACGGAGAACCUCACUUUC
rnacentral:lncRNA from 1 species